rnacentral:rRNA from 1 species
GACAGAGGGUGCAAACGUUGCUCGGAAUCACUGGGCGUAAAGGGCGUGUAGGCGGGAAGGAAAGUCAGAUGUGAAAUCCCCAGGCUCAACCUGGGAACUGCAUUUGAAACUCCCUUUCUUGAGUGUCGGAGAGGAAAGCGGAAUUCCUGGUGUAGAGGUGAAAUUCGUAGAUAUCGGGAGGAACACCUGUGGCGAAGGCGGCCUUCUGGACGGUUACUGACGCUGAGACGCGAAAGCGUGGGGAGCAAACAGG